UACAGAGGGGGCAAGCGUUAUUCGGAAUUAUUGGGCGUAAAGGGCGCGUAGGCGGCUAUUCAAGUGGCGGGUGAAAUCCCUCGGCUUAACCGAGGAACUGCCAUCCAGACUGCUUUGCUUGAGGCCGGGAGAGGUAAGUGGAAUUCCCAGUGUAGCGGUGAAAUGCGUAGAUAUUGGGAGGAACACCAGUGGCGAAGGCGGCUUACUGGACCGGUUCUGACGCUGAGGCGCGAAAGCGUGGGGAGCAAACGGG
rnacentral:rRNA from 1 species